rnacentral:lncRNA from 1 species
AUGAGUGGUGUCAUAAAGCUCCCAAGAGUUUACGUCUUUUGUGAUUGGCUACCAGCAGACCAUGUGUCAACAUAUGCGGAGUUUGUGCAGACGCACAGAACCUCUGGGGAGUAUAUGUUUGAAUUUGAUGAGGAGGAGCAGUUCUACGUGAACCUGGAUGAGAAGGAGAUGGUCUGGCCUCUACCAGAGUUUAUUCACACCUUUGACUUUGGUGCUCAGAGGGGUAUUGCUGGCAUCGUCAUGGCAAGGAAGCACUUGAACACCCGGAUCAAUGGUCCAAACAGACUUGGGCCACAAAUCCCCCACCGAGGUAAGCGUCUUUCCCAAGGAGCCUGUGGAUCUGGGCCAGCCCAACACCCUCGUCUGCCAUGUUGACAAGUUCUUCCCACCAGUGCUGAACAUCACGUGGCUGCGCAAUGGGGAGCCAGUCAUUGAGGGUAUUGCAGAGACCAUCUUCCUGCCCAGCAAGAAACUCAGAUUACACAGGUUCCACUAUCUGACCCUCGUUCCCAUGGCCGAGGACACCUGUGACCUCCAGGGGGAGCACUGGGGCCUGCACCAGCCUCUCCUCAGGCACUGGGAGGUCCAUGAACUAAUCCAGGUGCCUGAGACCAUGGAGAUGCUGGUCUGUGCCCUCGGCCUGCUGGUGGGCCUGGCGGGGGUCCUUAAUGGCACCAUUGUCUCAAAGACCAAGCGAUCUGACAGCAUCCCCGGGUCCAGGGGCUCCUAUGA